UACGUAGGGUGCGAGCGUUAAUCGGAAUUACUGGGCGUAAAGUGUGCGCAGGUGGCCGCGCAUGUCGAGUGUGAAAUCCCCGGGCUUAACUUGGGAAUUGCGCUCGAAACUACGUGGCUCGAGUGUGGCAGAGGAAGGUGGAAUUCCACGUGUAGCGGUGAAAUGCGUAGAUAUCUGGAGGAACACCGGUGGCGAAGGCGGCAUCCUGGACCGGCAUUGACGCUGAGGCGCGAAAGCCAGGGGAGCAAACGGG
rnacentral:rRNA from 1 species